CAGUAGCCGCGGUAAUACAUAGGUGGCAAGCGUUGUCCGGAAUUAUUGGGCGUAAAGGGCUCGCAGGCGGUUUCUUAAGUCUGAUGUGAAAGCCCCCGGCUCAACCGGGGAGGGUCAUUGGAAACUGGGAAACUUGAGUGCAGAAGAGGAGAGUGGAAUUCCACGUGUAGCGGUGAAAUGCGUAGAGAUGUGGAGGGACACCAGUGGCGAAGGCGACUCUCUGGUCUGUAACUGACGCUGAGGAGCGAAAGCGUGGGGAGCGAACAGGAUUAGAUACCCCCGUAGUCCCUGUCUCUUAUAC
rnacentral:rRNA from 1 species